rnacentral:rRNA from 1 species
CCAAUAGCGUAUAUUAAAGUUGUUGCAGUUAAAAAGCUCGUAGUUGAAUUUCGGGAUCAAGGAAUCGGUCAUGCCUUGGUAUGUACUGGUUUUAUUGGUUCCCACCUUCUAAAGAACCAUAAUGUCAUUUAUUUGAUGUUAUGGGGAAUUAGGACUGUUACCUUGAAAAAAUUAGAGUGUUUAAAGCAAGCUUACGCUUGAAUACAUUAGCAUGGAAUAAUGAAAUAGGACAUCAGAUUCUAUUUUGUUGGUUUCUAGGAUCGAUGUAAUGAUUAAUAGGGAUAGUUGGGGGCAUUAGUAUUCAAUUGUCAGAGGUGAAAUUCUUGGAUUUAUUGAAGACUAACUACUGCGAAAGCAUUUGCCAAGGAUGUUUUCAUUAAUCAAGAACGAAAGUUAGGGGAUCGAAGACGAUCAGAUACCGUCGUAGUCUUAACCAUAAACUAUGCCGACUAGGGAUCGGAUGAUGUUAAUUUUUUAAUGACUCAUUCGGCACCUUACG